rnacentral:rRNA from 1 species
AAUGAACGCUGGCGGCAUGCCUUACACAUGCAAGUCGAACGGCAGCAUGGCCUAGCUUGCUAGGUUGAUGGCGAGUGGCGAACGGGUGAGUAAUGCAUCGGAACGUGCCUUUUAGUGGGGGAUAACGUAGCGAAAGUUACGCUAAUACCGCAUAUUCUCUGAGGAGGAAAGCAGGGGACCUUCGGGCCUUGCGCUAGAAGAGCGGCCGAUGUCGGAUUAGCUAGUUGGUGAGGUAAAGGCUCACCAAGGCAACGAUCCGUAGCGGGUCUGAGAGGAUGAUCCGCCACACUGGGACUGAGACAAGGCCCAGACUCCUACGGGAGGCAGCAGUGGGGAAUUUUGGACAAUGGGCGCAAGCCUGAUCCAGCCAUGCCGCGUGAGUGAAGAAGGCCUUCGGGUUGUAAAGCUCUUUCGGCUGGGAAGAAAUCGCACCCUCUAAUACAGGGUGUGGAUGACGGUACCAGCAUAAGAAGCACCGGCUAACUACGUG